CAGCCGCCGCGGUAAUACGAAGGGUGCAAGCGUUAAUCGGAAUUACUGGGCGUAAAGCGUGCGUAGGCGGUUUGUUAAGUCUGUUGUGAAAUCCCCGGGCUCAACCUGGGAAUGGCAAUGGAUACUGGCAAGCUAGAGUGUGUCAGAGGAUGGUGGAAUUCCCGGUGUAGCGGUGAAAUGCGUAGAGAUCGGGAGGAACAUCAGUGGCGAAGGCGGCCAUCUGGGACAACACUGACGCUGAGGCACGAAAGCGUGGGGAGCAAACAAGAUUAGAUACCCCCGUAGUCCCUGUCUCUUAUAU
rnacentral:rRNA from 1 species